UACGUAGGGUGCGAGCGUUAAUCGGAAUUACUGGGCGUAAAGCGUGCGCAGGCGGCUUUGCAAGACAGAUGUGAAAUCCCCGGGCUCAACCUGGGAACUGCAUUUGUGACUGCAAGGCUAGAGUACGGCAGAGGGGGAUGGAAUUCCGCGUGUAGCAGUGAAAUGCGUAGAUAUGCGGAGGAACACCAAUGGCGAAGGCAAUCCCCUGGGCCUGUACUGACGCUCAUGCACGACAGCGUGGGGAGCAAACAGG
rnacentral:rRNA from 1 species